rnacentral:piRNA from 1 species
UGUUAGAACUGGCAGAAAGUAGUCUCAAAC